GGUCCGAGUCUCAGCUAGGCCAUCGGCCAGCUUGGUGACCUUGGGCGAGUCCCUUAACAUCGCUGAACUCGCUUCUUAACAAAAAGUUUGAAAGUUGCCUCACCUUCCUAUCCCCUCCUUCCGUACCACGCUGUACGCAGGCAAUAGUCCUGAAGGUCACGCACGUGCAAGAUCUGAUGGCUCAUCUUAAUGGGCUAGGAGCCCCCUGGAUGGAUGUUGAUUCAAAGCUGCAACACACAUUCAGGAAUGUGAGCAGUCUGUCACCUGGCCCGCAGCCAUCAACAGGCUAACUGCUCUGCCCUGCUUUCCAGCCCACGGUUCCUACGGAGACCUCUCAGAGUUCUUGUGAGCAAUUUGUUUUGUUUUGGUUUUUUGCAUUUUAAAAUAAGAAAUACCCAAGGAAAAAUCGUUUUAUGUGCAGACUCACCUUACAAGUAUCAUUUCUCACCUUCUCAACAACUCAGCAAACUGAGCAGUAUUACACCCAUGAAGAUCUGCAGAUUAAGUAUGUCCCCAAAGCCUCACAGAAAAAGACCGAGCUGGAAUUUGAAACUGGAUCUUUCUACUACCAGGAAGUCAAGGAACGCCUGGCCU